GCGGCGGUCGGCGGAGACGGCGCGUCGAGCGGCCCAGAGCGCUGCACGCCGGCGGGCGGCCUCGGACCGCGUCCGGGCCGCCGCG
rnacentral:tRNA from 1 species